GCUAGAAGAGUCCAAUGAAAGUGGUAGAGAUGAGAGGUGGAGAGAAAGUCUAAAGAAAUGGGGAGGAGGAAAAGAGAAAGAGGAAGCUGGAGAGGGAGACACAGAGAUAGGAAGCGAAGACUAUUUGAGGGGGAGAGGAAUAAAAACAUUGGAGAGAGUGAGCUGUUUGAGCAAAGAAAAAGACAGAAGAGGAGACUAAGAGCUAUAUAAAACAUUUGUACUGGUUAUUAGAAUUGAAGAGGAGAACGAGCAGAGAGAAUAGAAAGCUAGAAGAGGAGAAAAAAAGAGAGGCGGAGGAGAAAAGGUGAGGCCAACAAUGUCCAGAAGAGACCAAAAAAAAAAAGUAUCUGAAUGAAUGGGUGGCGGGAAAAGAGGACAAGGGAGAGCUGAAUAACACCGCUGUGGGAAUUGAUGAUAACCUCUGCCAAUUGAUAAAGAUUGUUCAAUUUCUUCCCUUCGUCCCUUCGUCACUUCCAACAAGCACGGUGCAAAGGGUAAAAAUACUUUUCCAUCUUUGCAGCAGGGGGAAAAGCCCAGCUCUCACCACUCGUGCCGCAACAACAGUAAGAAGGGCUGGCGGGAUUGAUUUAACAAUGGGUGGAUGAUUCCUUUUGAAUAUACACAAUCUCACUUUACGCCCACUGUCUCUCUCGCUUGCCCUUUGGAGAUAUCGAUGGUCACUACAGUAAUGUGAGGCGGCAGGUAGCCUAGUGGUUAUAGCGUUGGGCCAGUUACCGAAAGGUUGCUUGAUCGAAUCCCUGAGCUAACAAGUUAAAAAUCUGUCCUUCCGCCCCUGAACAAGGCAGUUAACCUACUGUUCUCCGGUAGGCCUUCAUUGUAAGUAAUAAUUUGUUAUUUUAACUGACUUGCCUGGUAAAAAAAACAAAAACAGUGACAUGUUGAUAGCAACAAUUGAUAACCUUUCAGACAAUAAAAAAAAGUACUGAAUCAGAAGUGUCUGUACCUUUUCAUACAGUAGAAUUCUGCUCCGGCAUAGAAUGUUCGGUAUUGUUUUCUUGACAACAAUACACACGAUCGAUGGAUGUGCUGUUUGAUGGUAGGGUGUUUUCUUUCUACUAAAUGUCUUGGUAAGUAACGGCAUUUAAUUAACUUUAACCUACUUUUUAAAGGAGAAAGAGGUCUGCGCACAGGCAGCUCAAGAUAAUUUGAUAGUUCUGGUCUCCCAGUGUACAUUAGUCCUGCUUCAGAAGCGGCAUUGCUUUACAGACAAGUAAAAUACCGUCGAAACUAUCUCCAGAGAAGCUUUUGUGCUGGUAUUUAAAUGCCAUAGUGUACAGACAAACAAACAUGCCGUAGCCAAGGCGUUUUCAAGGCGGCACAUUCCAUGUCUGAUCUGUGUUAAUCUGCAAAAUUGUAAUUAUUCGCCUACCUGGUUAAAUAAAGGUGAAAUAAAAUUUUAAAAAUUGUAUCUUUGCAGCUGGGAUAAAGAGUUUAGCUAAGAUCCUGAAGCCCCUGAAGAGCAGAAAGUAGCCAGUCGAGGUGAGUGGAAAGGUGACCGGAAAACAUGCUGGA